UGGGGAAUUUUGGACAAUGGGGGAAACCCUGAUCCAGCCAUCCCGCGUGUGCGAUGAAGGCCUUCGGGUUGUAAAGCACUUUUGGCAGGAAAGAAACGUCGCGGGUUAAUACCCCGCGAAACUGACGGUACCUGCAGAAUAAGCACCGGCUAACUACGUGCCAGCAGCCGCGGUAAUACGUAGGGUGCAAGCGUUAAUCGGAAUUACUGGGCGUAAAGCGUGCGCAGGCGGUUCGGAAAGAAAGAUGUGAAAUCCCAGAGCUUAACUUUGGAACUGCAUUUUUAACUACCGGGCUAGAGUGUGUCAGAGGGAGGUGGAAUUCCGCGUGUAGCAGUGAAAUGCGUAGAUAUGCGGAGGAACACCGAUGGCGAAGGCAGCCUCCUGGGAUAACACUGACGCUCAUGCACGAAAGCGUGGGGAGCAAACAGGAUUAGAUACCCUGGUAGUCCACGCCCUAAACGAUGUCAACUAGCUGUUGGGGCCUUCGGGCCUUGGUAGCGCAGCUAACGCGUGAAGUUGACCGCCUGGGGAGUACGGUCGCAAGAUUAAAACUCAAAUGAAUGACGGGGUCAUAGCUGUUUUCCU
rnacentral:rRNA from 1 species